AUUGAGAUGACUGAAAUUUAAGUAAUAAACUGUAAAUUUAUUCAUGAAUAUAAAAUAUUCUCUCAAUA
rnacentral:tRNA from 1 species